CACACAGGCUUGGUCCUAACCUUAAAAUCAAUUUAUUCUUGACUUACACAUGCAAGUUUCCGCAUACCCGUGAAAACGCCCCCCCCACCCCAUUUGGAAACAAGGAGCUGAUAUCAGGCACAACAUCACCCAAGACAUCUAGCCACACCACACCCACAAGGGUCCUCAGCAGUGAUUAACAUUAAAAAUAAACGUCAGUUUGAUUUAGCCAAUGAAAACAGAGCCGGCUAAUCUGUGUGCCAGCCGCCGCGGCUACACCAAUGAGGCUCAAAUUGAUUGUGCACGGCGUAAAGCGUGAUUAAAGAAACAAGCCGAUUGGAGUUAAACCUGAACUAAACUGUGACAUCCUUGUUCUUGAAAAACCCUACUUCGAAAGAUACCCCAACCCAUCAACUUGAACUCACGAAAACUGGGACACAAACUGGGAUUAGAUACCCCACUAUGCCCAAUUACAAACCUUAACUUACCCCCUCCUCCGCCAGGGAACUACGAGCAAAGCUUAAAACCCAAAGGACUUGACGGUACCCUAUAUCCCCCUAGAGGAGCCUGUCUCAUAAUCGAUACUCCACGUUUUACCUCACCACUUUUUGUCUUUCAGCCUGUAUACUUCCGUCGCCAGCCUGCCGCAUGAGCGAAUUGAGCGAGGCCUAAUGCUAACAGCAAUACGUCAGGUCAAGGUGCAGCAAAUAAAGUGGAAAAAGAUGGGCUACACUCUCUAUUAUAGAAAAUACGAAGAACUUCAUGAAACUUUAGUCAGAAGGUGGAUUUAGUAGUAAGGUGAAAUAGAAUAUUCACCUUAAUCGGGCACUAGGGUGUGUACACACCGCCCGUCACCCUCUUCAAAGUUUUUCCCGUAGUAAUUAACACCACUUACUUAAUAGAAGAGGCAAGUCGUAACAUGGUAAGUAUACCGGAAGGUGUGCUUGGAAA
rnacentral:ncRNA from 1 species